GCCAGGCUUGGUGGUGUGUGCCUGUAAUCCCAGCUACUGGGGAGGCUGAGGCAGGACAAUCGCUUGAGCCCAGGAAUUCAAGGCUGCAGUGAGCAGUGACCAUGCCACUGCAUUCCAGCCUGGUCAACAGAGUGAGAACCUGUCUUAA
rnacentral:SRP_RNA from 1 species